AGAGUUUGAUCCUGGCUCAGAUUGAACGCUGGCGGCAUGCCUUACACAUGCAAGUCGAACGGCAGCGCGGGAGCAAUCCUGGCGGCGAGUGGCGAACGGGUGAGUAAUAUAUCGGAACGUGCCUUAGAGUGGGGGAUAACUAGUCGAAAGACUAGCUAAUACCGCAUACGACCUACGGGUGAAAGUGGGGGAUCGCAAGACCUCAUGCUCUUAGAGCGGCCGAUAUCUGAUUAGCUAGUUGGUGGGGUAAAAGCCUACCAAGGCGACGAUCAGUAGCUGGUCUGAGAGGACGACCAGCCACACUGGGACUGAGACACGGCCCAGACUCCUACGGGAGGCAGCAGUGGGGAAUUUUGGACAAUGGGGGCAACCCUGAUCCAGCAAUGCCGCGUGUGUGAAGAAGGCCUUCGCUUUGUAAAACACUUUUGUUCGGAAAGAAAUCGCUCUGGCUAAUACCUGGGGUGGAUGACGGUACCGG
rnacentral:rRNA from 1 species